GGACCCGCACAAGCAGUGGAGCAUGUGGUUUAAUUCGAAGAUACGCGCAGAACCUUACCAACGCUUGACAUGUUCGUCGCGAGACUAAGAGAUUAGUCUCUUCAGUUCGGCUGGACGAAACACAGGUGCUGCAUGGCUGUCGUCAGCUCGUGUCGUGAGAUGUUCGGUUAAGUCCGGCAACGAGCGCAACCCACAUCCCUAGUUGCCAGCAGUUCGGCUGGGCACUCUAUGGAAACUGCCCGUGAUAAGCGGGAGGAAGGUGUGGAUGACGUCAAGUCCUCAUGGCCCUUACGGGUUGGGCUACACACGUGCUACAAUGGUGGUGACAAUGGGUUAAUCCCAAAAAGCCAUCUCAGUUCGGAUUGGGGUCUGCAACUCGACCCCAUGAAGUCGGAAUCGCUAGUAAUCGC
rnacentral:rRNA from 1 species